UCACAAUGUUAAAAUUCCCCGGCAUUUCCAUGUUUUCCAUGACAAUGGGAUCCCUGUUAAAUAAUUCUGGCCUGAUUCCCGGAACAACAUUUUCAUCCUCCCUACAAUCCCGUGCAGUCAGAUCUGACUCUCUUCUAGUAUUCUGGUCAUCGUCCACUUUCACUAAAUGGAAAAGAGCAGCUUGGACAUUCUGCCCAAAUCUUCAGUGUUUCAAGGAAGAAUGAAGUAAUACCAGAUCAGAACAUCAUUAUGUCGUUGCAUUUAAAAAAGGCCUCAUACAUUCAGGAAGGAGGAAAACAACACACACACUUGAACAUUACUGCGGAAGAAGAGACCUAAUAAUUCAAUCUUCAGUUCUUACAUCUAACUCAUCAUCCGCUUUCUGUUUGCUAAUAUUUAUUGUUUUGUCUUGCUACAUGAGAUUCUUACACUCUAGUGGGAAAUAUAGAUUAAUGUAUAUAAUAUACUGUACUGUAUAUCUACAGU